CGGUGGAGCAUGUGGUUAAUUCGAAGCAACGCGAGAACCUUACCAGGUCUUGACAUCCCGAUGCUAUUCUAGAGAUAGAAAGUUACUUCGGUACAUCGGUGACAGGUGGUGCAUGGUUGUCGUCAGCUCGUGUCGUGAGAUGUUGGGUUAAGUCCCGCAACGAGCGCAACCCUCGACCUUAGUUGCCAGCAUUCAGUUGGGCACUCUAAGGUGACUGCCGGCUAAAAGUCGGAGGAAGGUGGGGAUGACGUCAAAUCAUCAUGCCCCUUAUGACCUGGGCUACACACGUGCUACAAUGGGCGGUACAAAGGGUCGCGAACCCGCGAGGGGGAGCCAAUCCCAAAAAAGCCGCUCUCAGUUCGGAUUGCAGGCUGCAACUCGCCUGCAUGAAGCCGGAAUCGCUAGUAAUCGCGGAUCAGCAUGCCGCGGUGAAUACGUUCCCGGGACUU
rnacentral:rRNA from 1 species